CAGCAGUGGAGAAUAUUGCACAAUGGGCGAAAGCCUGAUGCAGCGACGCCGCGUGAGAGACGACGGCCUUCGGGUUGUAAACCUCUUUCAGCAGGGACGAAGCGCAAGUGACGGUACCUGCAGAAGAAGCACCGGCUAAAUACGUGCCAGCAGCCGCGGUAAUAUGUAGGGCGCAAGCGUUUUCCGGAAUUACUGGGCGUAAAGAGUUCGUAGGCGGUUUGUCACGUCGUUUGUGAAAACUCACAGCUCAACUGUGAGCCUGCAGGCGAUACGGGCAGACUUGAGUACUGCAGGGGAGACUGGAAUUCCUGGUGUAGCGGUGAAAUGCGCAGAUAUCAGGAGGAACACCGGUGGAGAAGGCGGGUCUGUGGGCAGUAACUGACGCUGAGGAAAGAAAGCGUGGGUAGCGAACAGGAUUAGAUACCCUGGUAGUCCACGCCGUAAACGGUGGGCGCUAGGUGUGGGUUCCUUCCACGGAAUCCGUGCCGUAGCUAACGCAUUAAGCGCCCCGCCUGGGGAGUACGGCCGCAAGGAUAAAAAUCAAAGGAAUUGACGGGGGCCCGCACAAGCGGCGGAGCAUGUGGAUUAAUUCGAUGCAACGCGAAGAACCUUACCUGGGUCUGACAUAUAC
rnacentral:rRNA from 1 species